rnacentral:ncRNA from 1 species
AAUGGCGUAAACAAAGGGAAGCGACCCCGUGAGGGUAAGCAAAUCUCAAAAAUAACGUCUCAGUUCGGAUUGUAGUCUGCAACUCGACUACAUGAAG